UGCAAGCAAAUUCCAUCGACCCUCGCCAUGACGAGCAAUGUAAUGAACGAGGAGAUUGUCUUCUUCGAGCGUCCAUGGGCCUCUCCUAAGCUUAUCAGAAGAAUCAUCAUCACUAGAGCUGCUUAAGCUCUUCUUGCUUAAAGAAGAUGAUGACACAGAAGACAUAGCCACCACUCUUAUGGAGCAGGUUCAAGGUUUAAAAAAGAAAAAGGGAAAUCAAUAAGCGAGUGCAAUGCA
rnacentral:misc_RNA from 1 species